AACCAAAGUGUUGAGCCUAGUUCAGGGUUGCUUCCCUGUUCUGGUAAUUAAACUUUGGGAGAUUAAGGCAAAGUCUGGGUGAGAUGAUUGGGUAGAAUUCUUUCUCUAUUCAUUUUCCUCCCAGCCUACAAAA